rnacentral:lncRNA from 1 species
UCAUAUCUAUACAUAUUAUAUAUACCUGCAUAUGGAUUUAUAUUUGUAUGUAUUUAUUAAAGGAAAUAUUUGAGAUUGUCUAUCAGACUGUCAUAAUCUGGACAACAGUCAUUCUUCCACUUGGUGUUUCUUGUGUGGAUGGAUGAACAAUUAAUUUGGAAAGGAACAGUAUCUCCAGGAUACAUUGGAAAUUUCCAUGGCAUCACCAACUUCUCAUAUAGUUCUCUAUCAGUAAUCAGAAAAGUUAAAAUAAAAAAAAAGAAAGUUUUUUUUAACCUUUUAUUCUCUAUUAUUUCCAGUUUCUUUUAAAGCACUAUUGCUAACUGUUCUUAGAUACUCAAAAUUGCCACUUCCAUUGCCAAGUCCCCAUCAUUCUAUUUGACUCUUAAAAUUAAAGCAAUAGUAGCAAUGGCCUCUGGGAGAAUCUUUCAAAAAAGGCUUAAACCCUGGUUAUCUAACUACUAAUCUGAAUGGCUAGAUGGCAAGGUGGAGACAGAACAACCUGAGUUCAAAUGUGGCCUCAGAUACUUACUAGCUGUAUGACCCUGGUAAGUCACGUAACCCUAUUUACCUAUGUCCUCAUUUAUAAAAUGAACUGAAGAAAGAAAUGGCAAACCAUUCGAGUAUUUGUGCCAAGAAAAUCCCAAAUAGGGUCACAAAAAGUCAGAUACACUGAAACCACAGAACAACAAUUCUGACUAGUUCUAUGGUUCCUGACCUUUUUCUUCUUGGCCAUUUGGAAGUAUUUUUCUUUGUUCUGGGAACUGAAGUUUGGUGAAUCUUUUUACCUGUGAUUUUUAUUGAUUUUACACUUUGAUCUCUAAUUCCAUUAAUUCUAGGCCAUUUUCUUUCAUGAUUUGUUAUAAUAUGGUAUAUAUGGAAUUUUUAUUUCAUCAUUAUUUUCAAGGAGUUUAAUUCUUUUUGAACGGUCCCUCAUCUUUUGCAAGUGAAUUUUUGAAAACAGUGGGUACUUUCUUGGCGUCUUUUAACUUUAUUUUUAAAUUUCCUGUUAAAAUUUUAUUUCCUACUU